CUAGAAACUUAGAAAGUUUUAGCAACCGUUCGGUUGACUUUUAUUGGGCAUUUUUAGCGUGUGCGUGUUUCUUUUGAACUUCAGUUUGCCAAUGCGCUUGAAUCAGUGGCAAAGAGUAUUAUUAGUAUAUAUCAGUGGACUGGGCUGCGGUGGUAGAACGCUCGAGGCACGAUUGUCACAGGCUCGCGCAAUCACUACUUAACAUAUUAGUUGACAAAUUUAACACAUGUUUUCCUAUACUUACGUAAACAACCACAACAGCACAGGAGGGCUGAAGCCUCAGUGCAGCACCUGUUUUGACUCCCAGUGAGAAUGAGUGACAGUCUGCCAAAGACAGUAGUUACUUGCAGUUUGCACAAAUACCCUUCACAUGAUUGCAAUAAUGCAGAUGAAUCUAAGUGUAUUGGUAACUUCACCAUCCUGUGUAGCCGAAGAAGCACCUGUAUGUCCACCAAAAACCAGAGCACAUAAUAUAUAAAAGAACAAGUACAGAAGGCUCACAGUCAACAACCUGUCAACGGACUGCAUGUGACAUUGAGUUCUAUUGCGAAGCGAGAAGGUCAUCAAACUAUGGGCCGGGAACUCUUAGCCGCCGGAAUGUAUGAAAGAAAUGUGGAGUGAGCCACCCCCGACAAGAGUUAUUUUUUUAUAAUAAUCAGAUAGAACUGUCACAAAUAGAAGAGUUAAAAUUCACUGCAAUUGAUCAACCACAGAUUUUGUAUAAAAAAAAUGCCUAUGUGAUUAAUGUUGAGUGUAUUCUGAAUAUUUUAUGAAAUACCUAUAUUUUUGUUUUAUUUGUAUAAAUGAUUGCAUCUCUUCUAAAUAUACUGA